UAAAUAUAACCUCGGAUUACCUGACUCACUCUCCUUUAUUAUAUAAACCAACUCCGUGCCUUGUAGAGUACACCUUCACUUGAAGACCUCCAGCUGUCCAUAACCUCGGCACUAACUGAACUACACAAGACCAAAGAUGUUCACCUUGAAGAAGUCCCUGUUCCUGGUUUUCUUUCUGGGGAUGGUCUCCUUGUCUCUCUGCAGGCCUGAAGAAAGGAACAAUGAUAAUAA